rnacentral:misc_RNA from 1 species
CUUGUAUUCAAGGGCUAAUCAGAAGAAACAUCAAUAAAAGCAAGGGCCAUUAGUUCAUUAGGCACCUUCUCAAUGCAAACCAUGUCACUAGCAGAAUGUAAAGCAUGAGCCAGAGAAUUGGCUUGAUGAGGAGCAGUGGAAAGAAAAGAAUUAGACAAGAAAUGCAAUCAGAGUUCCCAAAUGUGAGCGAUCAGGACCCUUCUUGAUGAUUGCAGAAAGGACAGCCAGACAAUCACUUUCGACUCAGUUCCAGAAGAGUAAAAUAAAGAUCACGGGUGAGGUGUAAGCCAAAGAGGAUAGAGGAAGCUUAACCAAUGCAACAGGGAGGUUUGCUUGAGACCACCCAUAGAUGAACCCAUUGGAGGAGUCCAUUUGUGAAUAUCUUAUUCUACAUGCUUAUGACAAUGGAUGGUAUAUGUUCAACUUUAUACCAAUCACUUCCACUAUCUUGUUCAAUCCUAGCUUCAAAUUCAUCUGGCAUACCCUCUAUGGCCAUUUCUCUAAGAGUGGUAACAUACUGCAAUCCUUCAGGAAUCAUCUUCAGAUUUUCACAAUUAUGGAUGAUCAAACGUCUAAGACCUGGCAUGGCUUCUACCUCAAUCCUCCACUCCUCUAAUUUUUCCAGUUCUCGGACUUCCAAGCAACGGAGCUUAGGAAAUCCACCUGAUGAGCAGACCAUUUCCUUUCCACAAAAGGAAUUCGACAGCAACCUAAGCAUCUUAAGAUUAGGUAGUUUCUCCAUUGUCACAAAUGAGUCCUGCUCAAGCUGUGACAUUUCCAGGGAUAGUUUAGUGAGAUUAGGCUGGAUCUCUCCAGGGUCAGGAAGCUUCAUCAUAGCGCCUGAAAGAUGCAGCUUAUAAAUGUUGGGUAAAUUAAAUAUCAACCUCAAAAUUCUAUCCGAAAUAGGAUCAGGUCCUUCUAAAUGCAGAGUCUCUAAACUGCGUAGUUUGCCUAGAGCAGUGGACAAUGCCUCAGUUUGAGAAACAAGGUAUCCCUCAAUGCCCAAUUUCCUAAGGUUAGUCAGCUUUCCAAGGAAAUCAGUAACCCAACCAUUACCAUAAAUUGAGACAGUUGAUAAUGUUCUGAGAUUCAUUGCUGAAACAUGAACUGGCAAACGCCCUGUUAUUGCAGUCCUGUGAAAAUAGAGGUGUCGUAAACUUUCAAUCUCCCAUAUCUCAUAUGGAAUUCUGCUAAUCUUUGUAGCCCUAAUGUCAAGAGUUUGUAGCUUACUCAAGUUGUUUAUGGAGAAUGAGAACCUCUUCAACCCAGUAUUCCUCAAUCCCAAGUGUCGCAAAUGAAUGAGCUCCCUGGUUUCUUUUGGUAAUAUAUGUACAGCAGCACCCUGGAGAUCAAGCACUCGAAGCAAUUUGUGGUAGUCACUAAUGUACGUCCAUUGACAUCUCCAAAGGGAUUCAGGAGACCUUGUGAAGCGUAGCAAAGAACGAAGGUGAGGAUUUGGGUGCCUUAAGCUCAUGUGCAUAUGAAGACUGGUGUGGACUGCGAUUCGACGAGCUCUAAUCAUUGAAUGGAAAGUAUCACCAUCAAGGAUUUCAAGAAACUUACAUUCUUUAGCCUCAGACAUUGCAAGGUCUCGCAGAAGAUCAUGAAUGCGGCAAGUCUUAAUCCUACCAUCAUACCUCCACUCCACUACUUGAACCAUGCAUCUGUCGAUCAACUCUUCCAGGAAAUCUUCUGCAACAUCUUCCAUAGCUUCGUCUCCCCUUUGCUGAACAAAUCCUUCAGCUAUCCAAAAUAGUAUUAGUUUUGCAGCAGGAAUUUCGGAGUCUUCAGGAAAAAGACCAAAGUAAAGGAAACAUGGUUUCAGGUAGUAUGGCAGGUCAUUGUAACUCAGAGCCAAAAUUUCUAACAGUUGCUUAGGAUCAUGAGUCAGCUGCCAAUUUACGCUUUGCAGCACCCUCGACCAAACACUUGUGGUUUUCUCUUUUCUAGAUAAAAGCCCUCCUUGAAUGACAAUUGCAAGGGGCAAGCCUUAGCACUUGUUAACUAUCUGCUUUCCUAAUCUCUCCAGUUCUGGAGGACAAGCAAAUGAAUCAUUUUCCACCAGCACUGGGAAGGCUUUCUUUGUAAACAGCUGCCAACUCUCAGCAUCACUCAAAAAAUGAAGUUCAUGCAGAGGGCUCAUCGGAUCAGCAUGCACAGCCACUUCCUUAAUGCGGGUAGUAAACAACAGUUUACUUCCAUUCAUGACAUCUGGAAAGAUGGCUUUCAAGUCAUCCCAAGCUUCAAUUUUCCAUAUGUCAUCCAAAACAAUCAAAUACCUUUUCUUGCUCAACGCCUUGUAAAGUUUCUCCUCUAGGUCAUCUUUAUUCAUUGCAGCUAAUCCGUCUUUGUCAAUGCUCAAAACCCUUCUUCCAAGCUCAUGCAAAAGCUCUCUUGCUCUGUAAUCUUGAGAAACAUAAACCCAUGCGCAGAGAUCAAAAUGUCUCUUAACAUCACUACAAUUAUACACUUUCUUGGCUAAAGUAGUCUUUCCCAAGCCCCCCAUCCCAACAAUAGAAAUUACUCUCCUCCUCAAUGUCCCUGGAUCUAGUAAUCUUGCUACCAACAUGUUAAUGUCUUCAUCGAAGCCAACAACAUCAUGAUCAUCAAUACGGGGAGAGGAUCGUCUUCGCUCUCGCAAUUUCUCACACACAGUAAUAGUCUUAUCCCCACCAAUGUUUUCAAUCCCAUAAGUUGCUCUACUAAUGGAUAUCUCAGAAAUCCUCCUCUUGGUCCUUUCUAUAUCCUCAGCAAGUUGACGCCUAGCUGCCAAAUCGCUGAAGCAGUAUUUGAACCUUCCAAUGAACCCCCUUAAUCCAGAUCUUCUUCUUUGGCAUGCUAGCUUGAGGACAAAAGUGUCAAUGAUGUCCUCAACAUCAAAGGCAACAUCUCUUAUGUCCCCAACCCAGUUCUUGAUCCUCUCAUCUCCCUUUUGCUUGACAUCUGCAUCCUUUAAGAAGCAUUGCAUUCGAGUCAACUCCCUCUCAAUUGACUCAACUUGGCCCUGCACAUCGUAGAAGGAUGCUACUUCUUCAAUGAGCAGAUCGCCAAGCUUUUGUACAACAAAUGAAACCACAGCUUCUGCCAUAUAUCAAAUCAAGCUUCAGGAACUAAUUCUCAGUAUGAUGUCUGAAAUCUUAUGGAAAUAUUGGGAGACAACAAGUUUCUUGUUUUAGGUCCCUGGAAAUGAAUCCAUAUCAAAGUAGGGGUAAUUUCUUUUAAUUUUG